rnacentral:lncRNA from 1 species
GCUAGCAAGAACUUGUCAUUAUAUGAUUUUUUUAACAAAUCAUAUCAUUUGUUUAUUACAUGAUGAAAAAUAUUUGGCAGAUAUAAUAUGAAUUUCUGAAGUUUGGAACAAGCGAAACACCAACCUAGUGGAUUUCUUUUUCCAUUAAAUUCAAUAUGUGAAGUUGUGAAAAUACAUACAUAUUAUAAAUAUUCUUCAACUAUCUCAUAACAACUUACAAAUCUUAGGUCAAAGUUGUUAUUAACACAACUUGACAUUGACGAAGAAUUUUGAACCGUUCUUUUCCCCAGAAGCUUAAAAAAAACUCACUAUUCUUUGAAAACUUCUCCAAAGCCUUCAAAUUCUUCAACAUACAAAACCUUGCAUCUCUAUACUCAUAGACUCUUUUCUCCUUUCCGAAUCAAGCCCUGUAUUUUCUCGACAUUCACAAGUGAGCCCCGUUCUUUUUAUCCUUUAGUUUAUCCCCCAUUUUGCAUAAAACUUUCUCGUGUUCUUGACCAGCUUUUCAGGGAGUCAAGGAAGAUAAAGAUUGAGAUUUGGAGAACAAGAGGUUGCAACAACACGAUACAACAAGGCAAUCAGCUACAAAUGUGUUAAGAUGUUCUAUGGAAUCUUGAAGGAGAAAGACAAUGGAAGAGAUUAAAGAACAAACUGAAUCCUAACAUAUUGUAGUAAUUUGGAAUAUUUGGUUUGAAGGAACUCCUUGGUAUUGCUUCUAUAUAAGGAAGACAUUGGGAGAAGGCUAAUUAAGGAAGCACAUAUAAUAAAUGAAGUUAUAUGGAGUAUAAUUUUUAGAUAAUAUAAUGUGUGAAGAGAUUGACAAAAAAUAAUAAUAAUGUGUGAACAG